ensembl:lncRNA
AUUAGUAAGUAUUAGUAAGAGAGUAGUAUUUGAGCUUUGACUGGGCUGUUUGUAAUGUAUUCAUUCUAUUUUGCUAGAAUUCUGACUCGUGUGCUGACCUGAGGGAAUUAAAAACAACUACUCCCUGUGAAAAGCUCCCGUCAGAAUAACUCAGAACAUCUGUGUGGGGCUAGCGGAGAGAAGACAGCGGAGCUCCAGACAGACAGCGGGGUACCGCGGGGCUGCACGCCGACCAAAGCGCGCCGGCUGACGGAUCAAAAACGCGCGGACUAUCGGGGGUGAAACAUGCGGACGGUGCCGGGUGGACUCUUUUACGGCCGGCGUUUGGAGCUGUGCCCCGGACACACUGAGGCUGCCUCACCGGGAUGAAGGCUUGGUGGAGGUUGAACGAAAUGGCAUCUUGUUUAAUUUCUGCCAAUCAAGACGAGAGGAAGACAACUCCCAAACUGGCAUGCCUGCCGAUGGCCCCAUCAAGCCAAAGCUUGUUGCCUGUUUCCUAAAAAGGGGAAGAGUUUUCCACCCAAAUGCUCAACAUCCCCAGUGA